rnacentral:rRNA from 1 species
UGGGGAAUCUUGGACAAUGGGGGCAACCCUGAUCCAGCCAUGCCGCGUGAGUGACGAAGGCCCUAGGGUCGUAAAGCUCUUUCAGCUGUGAAGAUAAUGACGGUAGCAGCAGAAGAAACCCCGGCUAACUCCGUGCCAGCAGCCGCGGUAAUACGGAGGGGGUUAGCGUUGUUCGGAAUUACUGGGCGUAAAGCGCGCGUAGGCGGACUGUUAAGUCAGAGGUGAAAUCCCGGGGCUCAACCCCGGAACUGCCUUUGAUACUGGCAGUCUCGAGUUCUGGAGAGGUGAGUGGAAUUCCGAGUGUAGAGGUGAAAUUCGUAGAUAUUCGGAGGAACACCAGUGGCGAAGGCGGCUCACUGGCCAGACACUGACGCUGAGGCGCGAAAGCGUGGGGAGCAAACAGGAUUAGAUACCCCCGUAGUCC